AAGUAACAAUAAAGAUCAAAUCUGAAAUUAGACGAGGAGAUCGAUGAGUAAACCCUAGGAGGCAGCAGCAGACACACACAGAGGAGAACAGAGCAAACAGCCAAAGAUGACUUUCAAGCGUAGGAACGGUGGAAGGAACAAGCACAACAGAGGUCACGUUAACCCAAUCAGAUGCUCCAACUGUGGCAAAUGCUGCCCCAAGGACAAGGCCAUUAAGAGGUUCAUUGUGAGGAACAUU